GAUCCUGGCUCAGGAUGAACGCUGGCGGCGUGCCUAAUACAUGCAAGUCGAACGAGGUAGCAAUACCGAGUGGCGAACGGGUGAGUAACACGUAGGUAACCUGCCCUUAAGCUUGGGAUACCCAGAGGAACUUGGCUAAUACCGGAUAACAACAGAGAAGGCAGUCUUCUUUGCUUGAAAGGCCCCUUCAAGGGUCACUUAAGGAUGGACCUGCGGCGCAUUAGCUAGUUGGUGAGAUAACAGCCCACCAAGGCGAGGAUGCGUAGCCGAACUGAGAGGUUGAUCGGCCACAUUGGAACUGAGACACGGUCCAAACUCCUACGGGAGGCAGCAGUAAGGAGUUUUCGGCAAUGGGGGAAACCCUGACCGAGCAACGCCGCGUGAGCGAUGACGGCCCUAUGGGUUGUAAAAAGCUCUGUUGUAAGCCAUGAAUGACAGCUUGAGGAAAUGCAAGUUGUUUGACGACAGCUUACCAGAAAGCCACGGCUAACUACGUGCCAGCAGCAGC
rnacentral:rRNA from 1 species